CUAUAAUGGAGAGUUUGAUCCUGGCUCAGGACGAACGCUGGCGGCGUGCCUAAUACAUGCAAGUCGAGCGGAA
rnacentral:rRNA from 1 species